GGAAUUGACGGGACCCCGCACAAGCAGCGGAGCGUGUGGUUAAUUCGAGGCUACACGAAGAACCUUACCAGGGUUUGACAUGCAAGUGGUAGGAAUCCGAAAGGUGACCGACCCUUCGGGGAGCUUGCACAGGUGCUGCAUGGCUGUCGUCAGCUCGUGUCGUGAGAUGUUCGGUUAAGUCCGCUAACGAGCGCAACCCUCGUCGUGUGUUAUACGUGUCACACGAUACUGCCGGUAUCAAGCCGGAGGAAGGUGGGGAUGAUGUCAAGUCAGCAUGGCCUUUAUAUCCUGGGCUACACACACGCUACAAUGGCAGAUACAAUAGGUUGCGAAACCGCGAGGUGGAGCCAAUCCUCAAAGUCUGUCUCAGUUCAGAUUGUAGGCUGCAACUCGCCUGCAUGAAGUUGGAGUUGCUAGUAAACGCAGGUCAGCUAUACUGCGUUGAAUACGUUCCCGGGGUUU
rnacentral:rRNA from 1 species